rnacentral:rRNA from 1 species
AACGAACGCUGGCGGCAGCCUAACACAUGCAAGUCGAACGGGCGUAGCAAUACGUUAGUGGCGCACGGGAGAGUAACGCGUGGGAACCUACCUUUUGGUUCGGAAUAACGUCGGGAAACUGACGCUAAUACCGGAUAAGCCCUACGGGGGAAAGAUUUAUCGCCGAAAGAUGGGCCCGCGUUAGAUUAGCUAGUUGGUGAGGUAAUGGCUCACCAAGGCUACGAUCUAUAGCUGGUCUGAGAGGAUGACCAGCCUCACUGGGACUGAGACACGGCCCAGACUCCUACGGGAGGCAGAAGUGGGGAAUAUUGGACAAUGGGGGCAACCGUGGUCCAGCCAUGCCGAGUGAAUGAUGAAGUCCUUCGGGUUGUAAAGUUCUUUUGGUGGGGACGAUGAUGACGGUACCCACAGAAUAAGCUCCGGCUAACUUCGUGCCAGCAGCCGCAGUAA